AGAGCAUCACAACGGCUUCCUGACGUGGUGCGUAAUUUUUAUUGGAGCA
ncrna:Oceanibulbus indolifex HEL-45 SAM/SAH riboswitch